rnacentral:rRNA from 1 species
AACGAACGCUGGCGGCAGGCCUAACACAUGCAAGUCGAGCGAACCCUUCGGGGUUAGCGGCGGACGGGUUAGUAACGCGUGGGAAUAUACCCUUUGGUACGGAAUAGCCUCGGGAAACUGAGAGUAAUACCGUAUGUGCCCUUCGGGGAAGAUUUAUCGCCAAAGGAUAAGCCCGCGUUGGAUUAGAUAGUUGGUGGGGUAAUGGCCUACCAAGUCUACGAUCCAUAGCUGGUUUGAGAGGAUGAUCAGCAACACUGGGACUGAGACACGGCCCAGACUCCUACGGGAGGCAGCAGUGGGGAAUCUUAGACAAUGGGCGCAAGCCUGAUCUAGCCAUGCCGCGUGGACGAUGAAGGCCUUUAGGGUUGUAAAGUCCUUUUCAGAUGGGAAGAUAAUGACGGUACCAUCAGAAGAAGCCCCGGCUAACUCCGUG